CCAGUGCUGAAAUACAUCAACAUUCGACAAGGGCCACAAGGCGAAAAACUCAACGAUAUCUGCCAAACCAGUUACAACCAGCAACUGCAGUGUCCCAUAAACGUUGAAAAAACACAAAUAUUUCUCGUAGUCUUGUAUUUCGGUUAAAUUUUCAUCAAAUAUUUGCAAAAAUUGCAACAGGAAAGCACACGUGCGCUGUAU
rnacentral:lncRNA from 1 species